rnacentral:rRNA from 1 species
UACGGGGGGGGGCAAGCGUUGUUCGGAAUUACUGGGCGUAAAGGGCUCGUAGGUGGCCAACUAAGUCAGACGUGAAAUCCCUCGGCUUAACCGGGGGAACUGCGUCUGAUACUGGAUGGCUUGAGUGUGGGAGAGGGAUGCGGGAAUUCCAGGUGUAGCGGUGAAAUGCGUAGAUAUCUGGAGGAACACCGGGUGGCGAAGGCGGCAUCCUGGACCAUUACUGACACUGGAAUAGCGAAAGCCAGGGGAGCAAACGGG